rnacentral:misc_RNA from 1 species
GAUGAAGAACGCAGCGAAAUGCGAUAAGUAAUGUGAAUUGCAGAAUUCAGUGAAUCAUCGAAUCUUUGAACGCUCAUUGCGCCCGCCAGUAUUCUGGCGGGCAUGCCUGUUCGAGCGUCAUUUCAACCAUCAAGCCCCCGGGCUUGUGUUGGGGACCUGCGGCUGCCGCAGGCCCUGAAAAGCAGUGGCGGGCUCGCUGUCACACCGAGCGUAGUAGAUUUUAUCUCGCUCUGGGCGUGCUGCGGGUUCCGGCCGUUAAACCACCCUUUUAACCCAAGGUUGACCUCGGAUCAGGUAGGAAGACCCGCUGAACUUAAGCAUAUCAAUAAGCGGAGGA